AAACUGUUUGUUUUCCAAAAGUAUACUGUUUAUGGGACUAUUCCUGAGAAGGGAGAGCUCAAGAAAUCUCUGUAACAUCUUUGGAUGAAACGGAUACUGAAAAAUGUAAAGUGAAAGGAUGAAGCCCAUCAGUCCCCAGACUGGAUUGCCUUCACUUGCCUUGCUGGAGUUUGACUGUUAUCUGACGCAUACCCUAUGCAUGGCUGGGGAACAUGAGAAUGAGCAGCAUAUGACUAGAGGUGCUAUGUAAAUCUACAGUACUUCCUUGCAGCCCAUUACAAUGGAGAAAAUAAAUGAGUGCUGAAGUGAUUGCAGCAGGUUUGGAGAUUCCAUUUUGUAACAGAAUGGCUUCUAUCCAGGGAUGGAUCUCUGCUUUAUUAGAGAGAUGCAUAAAGAUAUUAUUAUCUCUGGGGGAAGAAAGAUAUGUGCACAAAGAGUGUGUUUAUGGGUACUCCUGAACAGGUGGGCUUGCUUGGGUUCUGCAGGAGAGCGAGACCGACAAAGGAAUCUUUUCAACUGGCUAGCUGGAGGUCACACACUAGAAUUUCCAUUAAUGCUACACUCUGUUAACUCUGUAGUUGAAGCCUGGGAAGAAAACUUCAAAUAAAUCCACAAAGGAGUUCAUGAAAGUUGAAAAGCCAGUGAUAGAAGUAAUCUAAUAAAGAUUUACGUUUUCCUCUUGUUCAAAUGUCAUCUUUGGAAUUUGCUGAAAAAUCAGCUACUUUAUCUGUACUAAACAUUUUCCCCUCUGUACUGGAAUUUUUAACUUUUACAUUGUGCUUGAGGAUAUUUAGGGAUUAUUUUUUUAGGAGUAUUAAACAGUUGUUACCAUAAUAUUACAUAAAAACAUGUCA